rnacentral:rRNA from 1 species
UACGAAGGGGGCUAGCGUUGUUCGGAUUUACUGGGCGUAAAGCGCACGUAGGCGGAUCGUUAAGUCGGGGGUGAAAUCCUGGAGCUCAACUCCAGAACUGCCUUCGAUACUGGCGAUCUUGAGUCCGGAAGAGGUGAGUGGAACUCCUAGUGUAGAGGUGGAAUUCGUAGAUAUUAGGAAGAACACCAGUGGCGAAGGCGGCUCACUGGUCCGGUACUGACGCUGAGGCACGAAAGCGUGGGGAGCAAACAGG